CUUCUCCUUCAUGACAACAGAACCCACAACAACCAUGACUCUGAUCACCCUCUUCAUCUGGACUCUAGCUGUCUACAUACAGGAGUCCAGAGGACAGAUCACUGUCACUCAGACUCCUGCAGUGAAAGCUGUUCUCCCAGGACAGUCCGUCUCUCUGCAGUGUAAAACCAGCAGUGAUGUGCAUGGAAAUUGUUACAAUGGUCAAUCAUGGGGUCACCAGUGUCUAGCGUGGUACCUCCAGAAACCUGGAGAACAACCCAGUCUCCUGAUCCGCACUGUUAAAACGCUGCACACUGGGACUGCAUCUAGAUUCAGUGGCAGUGGAUCUGGGAGUGACUUCACUCUGACCAUCAGUGAAGUCCAGGCUGAAGAUGCAGGAGAUUACUACUGUCAGAGUUUACACUACCCGAACAGUGUGUACGUGUUCACACAGUGAUACAGAGCCGUGCAAAAACCUCCCCUCGUCAGAUUGCACAGUGACUGCAUUGCUACAGCUGGGACCUACUGCAGGUGCUGAAAGGGAAGAGACAGUCACAUGGAACACUGACUGGCCUUGGUUACACUGAGCUAAAUAUGUCAGUGAUGUUCAUAUGUCAACUAACCCACCCUCAUGUCAAAGCAGUCCUGAAAACCUUUUAGCUCAUAAUGUUUAAAUAUGAAAUGACUCAAGAACAAAACAUCAUCUUUAUAUAUUUGUUUAAAACAUGUCUUCACUGGCUCAUUCAUUCAGACUUACUAGUGUUCAUCAGGCUGAUCAACAUUCCUGGCACUGAAAAAGU